GGGGGUGCAAUGGUUUCGACGGGGAUAUUAUCUUCAUGAAUAGCCAUCCGCAACGGUAAAUGCGUUAAAAUGCCAACAAAAAAUAAACAACCACGAUAAUUUAGCUUUUGCCGCUUAAAUAAAGCGGCCGUCGGCCUUGUCUCUCCCGCAGGGCAAGUUACCGGCGUCGUCCAUGCGGGGAACUUUUCCGCCUAAGCUUUGCGGCGGAAGAAGAACCUAUGAAGCUACCCGAACUAAGCGCUUGCCGGUUUGCGCUUAGAGAGGGGAAUCCUUAAAAACCGGCUGUGAUGGGAGAGGUUCAGGCUGGUGUGUUUUCGGACAGGGGUUCGAUUCCCCUCAUCUCCAG
rnacentral:tmRNA from 1 species